AUUGAACGCUGGCGGCAGGCCUAACACAUGCAAGUCGAGCGGAUGAAGGGAGCUUGCUCCUGGAUUCAGCGGCGGACGGGUGAGUAAUGCCUAGGAAUCUGCCUGGUAGUGGGGGAUAACGUCCGGAAACGGGUGCUAAUACCGCAUACGUCCUGAGGGAGAAAGUGGGGGAUCUUCGGACCUCACGCUAUCAGAUGAGCCUAGGUCGGAUUAGCUAGUUGGUGGGGUAAAGGCCUACCAAGGCGACGAUCCGUAACUGGUCUGAGAGGAUGAUCAGUCAAAUGAGCAGUGGACGCCGGUCCUCAUUCGGCAGGGAGGAGUGUGAGAGAAAAAUUGGAGAAUGGACGAAAGCCUGAUACAGCCAUCGAGCGUGUGUGAAGUAGGUGUUCGGUUUGAAAAGAUGUGUGAGGUGGGAGGAAGGGCAGUAAGUAAAUACCUUGCUGUUUUAACGUUAAUAACAGAAUACGCACCGCCUCACUGCGUGCCGUCGGCAGCGGUAAUCGUCGAACAGCACACGUCUGAAU
rnacentral:rRNA from 1 species